UUUAGUGCGCAGGGUUGGAUUUAGCCAUUUUGGCGGAUUUGCUCCACCCCCUGUAUGAGUCAGAGGUUUUUACGAGCGCUCCAGUAGUGACAGCUCAAAGCUGUCCACGUCAACACUAAACACCACCAUGGACUCCGUGGCUCUGGAGCCUUCGCUGUACACAGUUAAGGCAGUCUUCAUCUUGGAUAAUGACGGAAACCGACUUCUUUCGAAGUACUAUGACACAGAGCUGUAUCCCUCUAUGAAGGAGCAGAAAAAUUUCGAGAAGAACGUCUUCAACAAAACACAUAAAGCAGACAAUGAAAUAGCCUUCCUGGAGGGCAUGACUAUAGUGUACAAGAGCAGCAUAGACCUGUUCUUCUAUGUGGUGGGCAGUGCACAGGAGAAUGAGCUGAUGUUGAUGGCGGUGUUGAACUGUUUGUUUGAGUCUCUCAAUCAAAUCUUGAGGAAAAAUGUGGAGAAAAGAUGUCUGCUGGAUAAUCUGGAUGGAGUGUUUCUGGUGGUGGAUGAGAUCAUUGAUGGAGGGGUGAUCCUGGAGAGCGACCCGCAGCAGGUAGUCGAGAAGGUCAACUACAGGUUUGUGUCAGAGCAAGCCUUUGGCUUUGUCCUGUUCGAAUACAUCACGGGUAACAUGGAGGGCCAGGCACAGAAGAGCCAGCCUUUUUAACUCGCACAGAAAAGACCCUCUUCCUCUCCACCUCCUUCUCACAGUAAAGAGAGAGGAAUGGAGAAAACAGGAGGGGGAGGGAGAGAGGAUAUAGGCAGACUGAUGACAGCCCUCUAUCAGAACACAGUGUGGCUCAGGUGUUACAGACUGCAAAAGAACAGAUCAAGUGGUCAAUACUGAAAUAAUCUUCUUCACAGUGAGCGGAUCUGUAAAUAAUCUGAAGUGAUUUGGGAAAUAUUGUAGCCAUUCAGCUUUAUUUUUUCUGAAAUCCACUAGGCUAAUUAAUUAUGAUACUAGCUGUAGGUUCAGCUGUUUUUAUCCUUAAGCCAUUCAGGCUUGAAUGCUUUAUUAAACAGGUUAUACUGUGCAUAAAACUAAGAAGAAGGGUCAUUUUCCACACGCUUUGAGUUUGAUGGCUGUUAUUCAAGAAGCUCCUUGUAUUUAGUAAUGUGGACAGUAAGGAUCGACCUGAUUUGCACUGAAUAUUUUCAGCAUGUGCCCCAGAUGCUAGAGUUUUUUGUUGAAAGUGUUCUGUAAAAAGGAAUAAUCAAAAUUGUUUGUCUGAUUCAAUUUUGUAUUUAUUGUUUUAAGACUAAAUAUGCGAUAACAAUUGUAGCACACUUCUGACAGUUGUAGCCAAACACAUUUGGGGUAUUAUUUGUUAUUUGAAACUUUUAUCAGUACAACCUUAUUAAUGCACCACAAAUCUUAGUUUCUAGAUCUGUUUGUCCUGAUAACAUCUGCUUUAAAACUGAGAUAGGAGCAAGUGGCUUUGCUACAUUGGGUUACUUCUGUAAAUGAUGUUACAUUGGGCCUAUUAUCAGGCCCUUCACUAUCCAAAUACUAUUUUUGACUAAAAAUUAAGUCUUGUUCAGAAGCCAAAGAGUAAAUAUAAAGGCAAAUUUGUAUGUUACUGAAGAAAUUGUAAGAACGUUAUAUUCAUGCCCUGUCUUAAUUAUUAGUCACAUUUAUUUAAGCUAUGUCUAACGAAAACUUUAAUAAGAUAAGUGUAAUCAUAAGUGUGUUUUCUGACUUGUAGCCCUGCUGCAGGUAACAGAGCUACAUUUUAUUAUGACUUGGGUAAUCCCUAGUUGUUUUUAUUUUGGUAGGAAUGGUGUAAUGAGUGAUCUUUUAUUUCAGAAACACUUAACCGGAUGUGGAAAUUGUCUCUGGAUGUUAAUAAAUCUCCUUUUGAUAAGACA